rnacentral:rRNA from 1 species
AGACCCGAAACCCGGUGAUCUAGCCAUGGGCAGGUUGAAGGUUGGGUAACACUAACUGGAGGACCGAACCGACUAAUGUUGAAAAAUUAGCGGAUGACUUGUGGCUGGGGGUGAAAGGCCAAUCAAACCGGGAGAUAGCUGGUUCUCCCCGAAAGCUAUUUAGGUAGCGCCUCGUGAAUUCAUCUCCGGGGGUAGAGCACUGUUUCGGCAAGGGGGUCAUCCCGACUUACCAACCCGAUGCAAACUGCGAAUACCGGAGAAUGUUAUCACGGGAGACACACGGCGGGUGCUAACGUCCGUCGUGAAGAGGGAAACAACCCAGACCGCCAGCUAAGGUCCCAAAGUCAUGGUUAAGUGGGAAACGAUGUGGGAAGGCCCAGACAGCCAGGAUGUUGGCUUAGAAGCAGCCAUCAUUUAAAGAAAGCGUAAUAGCUCACUGGUCGAGUCGGCCUGCGCGGAAGAUGUAACGGGGCUAAACCAUGCACCGAAGCUGCGGCAGCGACACUGUGUGUUGUUGGGUAGGGGAGCGUUCUGUAAGCCUGUGAAGGUGUACUGUGAGGUAUGCUGGAGGUAUCAGAAGUGCGAAUGCUGACAUAAGUAACGAUAAAGCGGGUGAAAAGCCCGCUCGCCGGAAGACCAAGGGUUCCUGUCCAACGUUAAUCGGGGCAGGGUGAGUCGACCCCUAAGGCGAGGCCGAAAGGCGUAGUCGAUGGGAAACAGGUUAAUAUUCCUGUACUUGGUGUUACUGCGAAGGGGGGACGGAGAAGGCUAUGUUGGCCGGGCGACGGUUGUCCCGGUUUAAGCGUGUAGGCUGGUUUUCCAGGCAAAUCCGGAAAAUCAAGGCUGAGGCGUGAUGACGAGGCACUACGGUGCUGAAGCAACAAAUGCCCUGCUUCCAGGAAAAGCCUCUAAGCAUCAGGUAACAUCAAAUCGUACCCCAAACCGACACAGGUGGUCAGGUAGAGAAUACCAAGGCGCUUGAGAGAACUCGGGUGAAGGAACUAGGCAAAAUGGUGCCGUAACUUCGGGAGAAGGCACGCUGAUAUGUAGGUGAAGUCCCUCGCGGAUGGAGCUGAAAUCAGUCGAAGAUACCAGCUGGCUGCAACUGUUUAUUAAAAACACAGCACUGUGCAAACACGAAAGUGGACGUAUACGGUGUGACGCCUGCCCGGUGCCGGAAGGUUAAUUGAUGGGGUCAGCGCAAGCGAAGCUCUUGAUCGAAGCCCCGGUAAACGGCGGCCGUAACUAUAACGGUCCUAAGGUAGCGAAAUUCCUUGUCGGGUAAGUUCCGACCUGCACGAAUGGCGUAAUGAUGGCCAGGCUGUCUCCACCCGAGACUCAGUGAAAUUGAACUCGCUGUGAAGAUGCAGUGUACCCGCGGCAAGACGGAAAGACCCCGUGAACCUUUACUAUAGCUUGACACUGAACAUUGAGCCUUGAUGUGUAGGAUAGGUGGGAGGCUUUGAAGUGUGGACGCCAGUCUGCAUGGAGCCGACCUUGAAAUACCACCCUUUAAUGUUUGAUGUUCUAACGUGGACCCGUGAUCCGGGUUGCGGACAGUGUCUGGUGGGUAGUUUGACUGGGGCGGUCUCCUCCUAAAGAGUAACGGAGGAGCACGAAGGUUGGCUAAUCCUGGUCGGACAUCAGGAGGUUAGUGCAAUGGCAUAAGCCAGCUUGACUGCGAGCGUGACGGCGCGAGCAGGUGCGAAAGCAGGUCAUAGUGAUCCGGUGGUUCUGAAUGGAAGGGCCAUCGCUCAACGGAUAAAAGGUACUCCGGGGAUAACAGGCUGAUACCGCCCAAGAGUUCAUAUCGACGGCGGUGUUUGGCACCUCGAUGUCGGCUCAUCACAUCCUGGGGCUGAAGUAGGUCCCAAGGGUAUGGCUGUUCGCCAUUUAAAGUGGUACGCGAGCUGGGUUUAGAACGUCGUGAGACAGUUCGGUCCCUAUCUGCCGUGGGCGCUGGAGAACUGAGGGGGGCUGCUCCUAGUACGAGAGGACCGGAGUGGACGCAUCACUGGUGUUCGGGUUGUCAUGCCAAUGGCACUGCCCGGUAGCUAAAUGCGGAAGAGAUAAGUGCUGAAAGCAUCUAAGCACGAAACUUGCCCCGAGAUGAGUUCUCCCUGACCCUUUAAGGGUCCUGAAGGAACGUU